GACGAACGCUGGCGGCGUGCUUAACACAUGCAAGUCGAACGCUGAAGCUCAGCUUUUGUUGGGUGGAUGAGUGGCGAACGGGUGAGUAACACGUGAGUAACCUGCCUCCUUCUUUGGGAUAACGCCCGGAAACGGGUGCUAAUACUGGAUAUUCACUGGUCUUCGCAUGGGGGUUGGUGGAAAGGGUUUUUCUGGUGGGGGAUGGGCUCGCGGCCUAUCAGCUUGUUGGUGGGGUGAUGGCCUACCAAGGCUUUGACGGGUAGCCGGCCUGAGAGGGUGACCGGUCACAUUGGGACUGAGAUACGGCCCAGACUCCUACGGGAGGCAGCAGUGGGGAAUAUUGCACAAUGGGCGCAAGCCUGAUGCAGCGACGCCGCGUGAGGGAUGGAGGCCUUCGGGUUGUGAACCUCUUUCACUCAUGGUCAAGCCGCAACAAUGGUUGUGGUGAGGGUAGUGGGUAAAGAAGCGCCGGCUAACUACGUG
rnacentral:rRNA from 1 species